AUUGAACGCUGGCGGCAGGCCUAACACAUGCAAGUCGAGCGAGCGGCGGACGGGUGAGUAAUGUAUGGGGAUCUGCCCGAUAGAGGGGGAUAACUACUGGAAACGGUGGCUAAUACCGCAUACUAUCGGAUGAACCCAUAUGGGAUUAGCUAGUAGGUGGGGUAAGGGCUCACCUAGGCGACGAUCUCUAGCUGGUCUGAGAGGAUGACCAGCGACACUAGAACUAAGACACGGCCCAGACUCCUACGGGAUGCAGCAGUGGGGAAUAUUGCACAAUGGGGGCAAGCCGGAUGCAGCCAUGCCGCGUGUAUGAAGAAGGCCGUAGGGUUGUAAAGUACUUUCAGCGAGGAGGCGUUACCCGCAGAAGAAGCACCGGCUAACUCCGUGCCAGCAGCCGCGGUAAUAC
rnacentral:rRNA from 1 species